AAGUCGUAACAAGGUUUCCGUAGGUGAACCUGCGGAAGGAUCAUUAUCACGUAUCCACGUAUCAACCAUUGUGCACUGUGUGACCGUUGAAAAAUUUAGAAAGAGAGUGUUGUUAUAAAACGUUUUUCUUAAGUGAAAACAAACAAUAGUGAUUUGAAGUUGUUUGAGUUUUAUAAUGACCAACAGUUUUCACGAAUUGUCUCUUUUAUUUUCAAUGUGUAUUCAUUUCAAAUCAUUUAUUAACAAUUUAAACUCAAAUUUAUUUCAUUUUGAACUAAAUUAAUUUCUUACCCUUCACUGGGAAGAAAUAAUUCAUUACGAAACAUAAGAACAACUCUUAGCAACGGAUAUCUUGGUUCUC
rnacentral:misc_RNA from 1 species